GCUUGGGCGCACCGCUGUGCUUGCGCCGAAAGUGAAAUGUCGAGGAUGAUUU
rnacentral:sRNA from 1 species